GACGAACGCUGGCGGCGUGCUUAACACAUGCAAGUCGAACGGAAAGGCCCUGCUUGCAGGGUACUCGAGUGGCGAACGGGUGAGAAACACGUGGGUGAUCUGCCCUGCACUUCGGGAUAAGCCUGGGUAACUGGGUCUAAUACCGGAUAGGAGCCAUUUCUAGUGUGAUGGUUGGAAAGUUUUUUCGGUGUAGGAUGAGCGUGCGGCCUAUCAGCUUGUUGGUGGGGUAAUGGCCUACCAAGGCGGCGACGGGUAGCCGGCCUGGGUGGGUGGACGGCCACAUUGGGACUGAGACACGGCCCAGACUCCUACGGGAGGCAGCAGUGGGGAAUGGUGCUCAAUGGGCGCGAGCCUGAUGCAGCGACGCCGCGUGGGGGAUGACGGCCUUCGGGUUGUAAUCUCCUUUCGCUAGGGACGAAGCUUUUUGUGACGGUACCUAGAUAAGAAGCACCGGCUAACUCCGUG
rnacentral:rRNA from 1 species